rnacentral:rRNA from 1 species
UACGUAGGGGGCUAGCGUUGUCCGGAAUCAUUGGGCGUAAAGCGCGUGUAGGCGGUCCGGUAAGUCCGCUGUGAAAGUCGGGGGCUCAACCCGUCGGAUGCCGGUGGAUACUGUCUGGCUAGAGUCCGGAAGAGGAGAGUGGAAUUCCUGGUGUAGCGGUGAAAUGCGCAGAUAUCAGGAAGAACACCUAUGGCGAAGGCAGCUCUCUGGGACGGUACUGACGGCUGAGGCAUGGAAAGCGUGGGGAGCAAACAGG